AUCGUGUAUGACUAAAAAUGAAGUCCUGUUAAAAGUGGCAAAUAUUAUUUAUUAAAACUUCUUUUCAAGAAACGAUUGCAAUAAUGAGUCAUGCAAACUGAGCACACUAAAAAUAGAUACACGCAAUUACAUGGAAUGUAGGUCGAAUAUAUACAAAGGAAUGUCUGGGAAUUAUUUUGGUCAAGUAUGCUACCACGUGUCUUUGAUCGUAAACAAUUAAAGUGUGGAAGCUGAUGGCAAGAAAUCAACAACCACCUUUUCAGCGUCUUGGAGCCCCAAGUAACUUUCCCGCCUUGUCAUCCUCACUGAUGUGCCUCACGUGCAAGCAGAGACCUGGCAUCAUGUUGCUGCUGCCCUGCAGCCACCUAGCGGUGUGUGACCAGUGUGCACGGACCACCGAGACAUGUCCGCGAUGUACCAGGCCAGUCAUGUGCAUCGUUCGAACGGUUAUACUUUGACGGGUGUUUUAUAGCUUUUGUUAAAGGAACCAUGAAUGUAUAUACAUCGCCCUGGAAUGAAUAUAUCUAGAACAAUAUGUUUUUUCAUUAACUGUGUACACAACUCGUAUUUCUCUUAACCUCGAGUGCCUUAAUGUCUUAACACCAAAAAUUAAAUUCCCAAUAAUUAAUCACACCCAUUUAUUUCUGAUAAAACAAUUGUAUAACAUUAAAACAUUAACGUAAUAUGUCAGUUCAAUAGUGUGUAUUUUGUUAUUAUUCAUACAAGUACUGUAUACUUAUACAGCAAGCACAUACCAGUUUGGAUUAUAUUGCUUAUAAUGUGUAUACAAUAUAUUUAAUGGCAUACAUUCCAUGCGCAUAUUAUUGAGUGUGUGUCUAUUUCUGUAUAUUGAGACACUCGAACCUAUGCUAACAUUCUGAAAUGCAUAUAUUCGUCUCUGCUAUUGUCUUGUUCCUUCUAAACGAACUAUAUUUAACGGUGUAUUUUAUGUCAUCAAUAUCUUGUACACUGUUUGCCAUAUAUGAUUCAUGUAUAUUAAUAUAAUGUACGUACAUAUUUAUCAGCAUGUAUACUAAACACGUAUAAGUGUAAACCUAACCGUAAAAAUAAAUGACCUAAUUCAGUAUAAUCACCCUAUGUAUCAUUGAACAUGUGCGCGUUUAUGUUUACCCUACCAUAUACAUGUAUGUAAUAUGAGAAGAUUCACUGCAUUGAUAUGGGUAAAGAGAAGGACGUUUAUGUUCUGUUUUAUAUUCGAAAUCCUUUUCGUCGUGCAUUUUCUGAUAACAGUUUUAAAUUUCUUUAGUUAUAUUUUAUGUAUAAAAUAUAUCAUAACGUAUAUACAGUUUUGAAAGAGAAUGUAGAAAUAUAUGAGAGAAAAAUGCAUAACAAAAGUACAUACAGCAUAACAAAAAUCUUGAAAGUAAUAACUUGGUUCUUUAAUCUUCAAAUGCAAUUAUUAUGAAGGCAAAAUAAAAAGCAAAUGUGUAUAAUACAUGAACUCUUACAAAACUUACACGUUUUAAACGAAAACAUGCAAUUGACUCUAUCAAAUAUAAGAAAAUGUCUUACAGGACUUUCUGCAAUGUCUUGUUCAAGCCGAAUCCUGUGUCUUAUAUUAUUAUAACUUUCCUUUCCUUAUAUUAAGAAAUAUUGGCUUGUCUAGCGUCUUACAAAUAUUGCCCACACGCUAUUUCAUGGAUAAAGUCGAUUGUCCAAUUCUACAUUAAAAAUUAAGCUUUCUGCUAACAUAGCAAUUAUGCGCAUAUCAAAAUCAUUAAUAUAUUAUAUUUUGGUGGUCAAUAAUCAUGGAUAUUAUCUAGUACCUUGAACGAUUUCAACUCUUCGUUAAUUUUACAUAUCUGAUAUGAAUAUCAAGAGAUUCUUAAUGAUGCCUAAUCUGUAUCUUUUCGAAAUUUAUCUUUGCAAUCCACUAAGCAUGAAUAAAGUGCAAAUGGUAA